UACGUAGGGGACCGAGCGUUGUCCGGAAUCAUUUGGGGCGUAAAAGAGCGUGUAGGGCGGCCCACUUAAGUCCUGCGUGAAAAUCUUUGCGGGGCUCAACCCGCAAAGCGGGUCGUGGGGAAAACUGGGGGUGGGCUAGAGUGCGGGGGAGAGGGAGAGUGGGAAAUUUCCUGGGUGUAGCGGGUGGGAAUGCGGCCAGGAUAUCAGGGAAAGAACACCCCCGUGGGCGGAAAGGGGCGGGGCCGGACCCUUGGGGCCCGGGUUCCCUGACGGCUGAGG
rnacentral:rRNA from 1 species